GACGAACGCUGGCGGCGUGCCUAAUACAUGCAAGUAGAACGCAGUUGCGAACGGGUGAGUCACGCGUAGGUAACUGCCUCCUAGCGGGGGAUAACUAUUGGAAACGAUAGCUAAUACCGCAUACUGUGAGAUGGACCUGCGUUGUAUUAGGUAGUUGGUGAGGUAAAGGAUCACCAAGGCGCCGAUACAUAGCCGACCUGAGAGGGUGAUCGGCCACACGGGGACGUAGAGGCGGCCCUGACUCCUACGGACGGCAGCAGUAGGGCAUCUUCGGAGAUGGACGGCAGUCUGACCGAGCAACGUGGCGUGAGUGAUGAAGGUUUUCGGAUCGUAAAGCUCUGUUGUUAGAGAAGCGGUAACUAGCCAGGAAGGGACGGCUAACUACGUGCCAGCCGCCGCGGUAAUUC
rnacentral:rRNA from 1 species